AACACUAAUAUAAAUAUUAUGCCACUAAAUAAUAUAAAUAAGAGAAAGAGUGUCUCAUCUAUUUUAUUUUUCUACAAAUAUUUUAAAUAAUUUUCUUUUGUUAGAGAAGUGAUGAUUCCGUCCCAUUUCUGAUGUUUUAGAAAAAAAUUUUUUGUCUCAUUUUAUUUACCAUUUUAAAAAAUUAAAAAAUAUUAUUAUUUUUUUCAAUUUUACUCUUAUUUAUUA
rnacentral:misc_RNA from 1 species